rnacentral:rRNA from 1 species
UACGAAGGGGGCUAGCGUUGUUCGGAUUUACUGGGCGUAAAGCGCACGUAGGCGGAUCGAUCAGUCAGGGGUGAAAUCCCAGAGCUCAACUCUGGAACUGCCUUUGAUACUGUCGAUCUGGAGUAUGGAAGAGGUGAGUGGAAUUCCGAGUGUAGAGGUGAAAAUUCGUAGAUAUUCGGAGGAACACCAGUGGCGAAGGCGGCUCACUGGUCCAUUACUGACGCUGAGGUGCGAAAGCGUGGGGAGCAAACAGG